GGGGUUGGGGUUGGGGUCAGAGACAGAGGUCGGGGUUAGGGUUUGGGGUUAGGGUCAGGGGACGGGGUUUGGGAUUAUAUAGGGAUUAGGGGAUUUGGGUUUGGGUUAGGAUUAGGGUCAGGGGUCAUGGUUAGGGAUUAUAUAGGGAUUAGGGGAUUCAGGUUUGGGUUAGGGUUAGGGUCAGGGGUUGGGGUUAGGGAUUAUAUAGGGAUUAGGGGAUUCAGGUUUAUAUAGGGAUUAGGGGAUUCGGGUUUGGGUUAGGAUUGGGGUCAUGGUUAGGGAUUAUAUAGGGAUUAGGGGAUUCAGGUUUCUAUAGGGAUUAGGGCAUUCGGGUUUGGGUUAGGGAUUAAGGUUAAGGGUUGGGGUUAGAGUAUAGGAUUUGGGCGUGGGGUUUGGGUUAGGGUUAGGGUUUGGAUGUGGGGUUAGGGUUAUGAGAUGGGAUUAGGGUUAGGGUUUAGGAUUGGGG
ensembl:lncRNA